ensembl:snRNA U7 U7 small nuclear RNA
GAGGGUUACAGCUCUUUUAGAAUUUGUCUAGCAGGCUUUCCGGUUUUUGCCAGAAAACCCCU